GCUCUUGGCUUUUGCUCCGCAUGCCCACUCCAGGGAGGAAAGGAUAGCUCCCUGGCCUUGCACACGGAGUGCUGGUGUUUGGUGAUGUCUCACAGGGAACACCCUGAUUUCACCCGGAGGGCUUGGUGAAGUCUCUGAUGGGAGGAGCACAAGCAAGGCGGGACUUAUCCACACUGGAGAAGACACUUGGAAGACAGAGGCUUAAAGUCUAGCCCAGGGAGACAUUUCCUUCUACUCUGGAGCAGAAUGAGGACGGGCUCUUGGCAAUGUGGUUGAGGACAGACACAGUGGCAGAAGGAAAUCCCCGGUGAGGGGAGGUGGACAGAGAGGAGAUGACACAGAGAGGACAGAGACAGAGAGAGAGAGAGAGGGAAGGCAACAAGGAGAGGAGAAUAUAGAAUGGAGAAGGUUCAGGAUACCCUGAUGCCAGAUCUAACACUCGUAUCCCAAAUUAAAGGGCGUGGGGAUCUUUUGUUUUUAAAUUUUUUUUAACAUUUAUUUUUAUUUUUGAUACGGAGACAGAGUGCGAGCGGGGGAAGGGCAGAGAGGAGGGAGACACAGAAUCUGAAGCAGGCUCCAGGCUCCAAGCUGUCAGCACAGAGCCCGACACGGGGCUCGAACUCACGGACCGCGAGAUCGUGACCUGAGCGGAAGUCUGACGCCCAACCGACUGAGCCACCCAGGCGCCCCAGGGCAUGGGGAUCUUUAUGCAUCCUGUGAGAUACCUCCAGGUAGUGUUCCAGAGUCUUGAACCGAACGAUAGGUGGCCCCCCCACCACCAAUGCUGUGUAAGCACACUCUUUUCCAUAAUCACUCCUGCAUAGCAUUUUUUCAUUUUUAUUGAUUUGCCUUAAUUUAAUACAUGUAUAAGAAUAUCUUCCAUUUAAAAAAAAUUUGCAUUUCUUUAAUAGCUUUGGAGCCUGUGCACUUGAUUCUGUGGUGAUUUACUCUGCCAAUAAACAUGUAAUCCUACCGUGAGCAUGUUUUAUCUGUGUAAUAAACCAUAAUAAAAAAUAAAAAGGAAUCCGCGGACUAUGAAUGAGACACGUCGACAGGUACCGGGGUUAGAGAGGUUCGAGAGCGACUUGCAGUUUGGUUGGGGACCCUGGGCCUGUGCAUCAAAGGGAUUACAAUCAAAAAAGGCAGAGUUUAUUGGACGCUGGCUGAGCGUUCCAGAACACAAAUGCUGGAGGCGUUUCGUGGAGGGAGAGAGCAAGACUGUCGUGAGGGAUGAGAACAGAUACAUUUGUGACCUUCAUGAGCUCACCCCUGGCACCGUGGGCUGUGCCUGUCGGGGUGGGGACGGAAGUUCAGGCUGGCAUAGCGUCGCAGGUCUGUUCUCGGGGAGGCAGGAGGAGGUGGGCGCACAAAGGAAGGGCCGCGGGAGUGAAGGGACAGAUGGACCAGCGGCCAAGUGGAGGAGGGUCUCACCACCCGCACGCCUGGGUCGCCUGAGCAGCCUGCCCUGCUUUGCCAGCCCUUCCGACCAAUGUGCCCCGUCAGGAGCUGCUUCGGGAGAAGGAAGCCGGGAGGAAGCUUCCAGCACAAAGACCCAAAGGGAAAUGGCUUUUACGCGCACGGGACUGUUGUCCUAUCUUUCCAUAUGGAGUGUAUCCUAGAAAAGUCCCUUUCUCUGGCAGCGGUGCUAAAGGGAGGGAACGUCCUCUGCGACAGAAUCCACAGCAGCGUUCAUUCUCCCAUUUAUCAACCGCGGACGCCGUACCUGCCUCAGACCGUGUCCUCGCCGUUGCCUGGAGGGCCCCUCGCUUCCGUCUUGCAAAAACCACGCUCACCUAACUCUUCCUUGAAGUCUUAACCAGGGUUCGAAGGGGGAAAAAAAAAAAAAGGAGGCCAUUUCCCCAACCUGGCUCGGCUGGCCUUGCAGAGAUUCUGAAUUCCCUUCUGUGAGUCAGGCUGGGGGUAAUGGCUCUUGCCCCAAGUGCUGAGCACACAGUUCGAGAGCCUGGCUUCCUGUCCGUGUGUGCCCACUGAAAGCUGUGAGGCGGAGGGGAGGGAGGCUCAGAAAGGCCGGCCCCAAAGUAACAGCAGCAUGGCCUGUGUCCCCCCACCGUGGAGCCCAGGCAGGGGAGAGAAAAGCCACAGGGGGGAGGAGCUCCUGUGACAGAGGACGAUGAUAGGCAGAUGGUGAGAAGCGGUUUCCAGAAGCUGGGAAACAGCCCCAUCUGACUGCAAGAGAAAGACAUACCGAAGGAGGGCAGGACGGAAACAGAAAACAGCUGGCCCGGCUGGGCUGGCAGGGACGGGCUUUCUCAUUUUGCAGAUGAGGAAACUGAGGCCCAGGGAGGGGAAGUGGUUUGCUCAAGAGCAGAUUCUUGAAAGAAUCAUCUGCUUUCGCCCUCCCUCUCCACUUCCUCACCUUCCCUGCUGUCCUGAGUCUGAACCGAAGGACAGGCGGGCUGGAAACCCCGUACAGAGGGGCCGGGGGUGAGGGAACGUGAGAGAAGCUGAGUGUCCGGGCCUGCGUUUGAUUCUCAUUCCGGGCCGGGAAGGCAAGAUCUUUAAGACUGUCUCUGCUCCCUUCUGCUGAUCUCCCUCAGAGCUCUGCACCUCGAGACAGAAUCCCGGGGGAAUCGUAGCUGUGUGAGCUGGGGCGGGGAGCCACAGGCGUGGUUGUGUGCAGAGCUCGGGCUCCCGCGGUUAUGCAAGCGGGUGCUGAAACUCUCCGGCAACCCUUUCUCCUAACCCCUGUGAAGACAUCUGUCCUGAGCAUUUCACGUGAAGCUUCGGAGAUAAGAAAGGCAGGACCCUGCACUUCUGCUCAGUUGCUGCCUCCUCCGGGAAGCCCUCCUUGUUGCAGCAUGAAUCUGGCCUCCCCCCAGGGGUCUGCUCACCCAUAGUAUUAGCCCUACUUUUCUGCCUUAGCCCACUCAGCCUGGGUUUGUUAUAAGGGCUUCUGUCUGCUUCCUUCUCUAGACGGGAAGUUGUCUGGGGCCAGGAGGACCCAGUCUCGUUCGCAUCUGUACCCUGCCUGCCUAUGUCCCUGCACAAAUGUGCUCCAUGCUUUGGAGGCCGGAACCAGCUGUUAAUGGAGGCACAUCACACAUCUUCGGAUUUAACCCAGCCAGUAACCCUGACAGGAAGGAGGACACAUUCAAUUCAAUAAACCCAUAUACAGCAUCUACUUCUUCCUCCCGGCAUUGUCUCAGGGGUGGUCUGUGUGACCAACGGAACGUGGUGGAAGUGAUGGUGUGUGACUUCUAAGACUGUGCCACAGAAGAUGUUGCCACUUCCCUUGCUGUUCUGUGGACUGCCUGCUGUGGGGGAAGCUAGCUGCCUUGUGGUGAUGACACCCAGCAGCCUAGGGAUAGACCCGCGUGGGGAAGGAACUGAAGCCUCCCGCCAUGAGCCAGCACCAACCUGCUCCUACUGUCUGUGUGAACCAGCCUUCUUGGAAGCUGAUCCGCUAGAACUGGGUCAGAGCUCCAGGUGACCGCAGUCCCAGCUGAUAUCCUGACUGGAACUUAGGCGAGACCUUGAGCCAGAACCGCUCAGCUAAGACGCUCCUGAUUUUCUGACCCACAGUGACUGAGACACAGUAGGUGUUCUCUUGAUGCUUUAAGGCUUUGGUUUUGGGAGUCGUUUCAUAGACAGCAAUAGACACACGUACAGAAACGAAGGCUUGGAGAAGAGUUUGGGAAGAGCCUUCAUUUUCAAGGCGCCAUACUGGUAUGCAAUGGGGGCGAUGUUUUUUUAAAGGCGUAAAAGAUGAUGAUGAUUGUGAGGAUGUGUGUAACCUAAGUUGGCAAAAGGAGUGCCAGAGCAGGAAGAAAAUUUAAGAGGCCACCGCAGUCGUCCAGACGAGAGGUAAUGAGAGGGCAGAAGCGGAGGCACCGCUGGGGGACCGGAAAAUGGCACGUCAACGCAGGGGGGCGAAGGCGAAGAAGUCACGAAGGUGACUCCUGGGUUUUGAGCUCAGGAACACGGGGGAGCCAUGAUCUCAUCUACCCAAAGAGGAAACACAGAAGGGAGCCCGCGUGGGUAGGAGUCAAGAAGUGGGGGUGUCUAUCUCCUGGCGAGGAGAGCUCCCUGUGUUCAGAGCUCCGCGGAGGGCUGGCCACCAAGGCUCCUUCACAGAUCGGGCUGGUCGAGAAACCUCUCCCUGAAGGACGAGGCUGUUCCAUUUCACAGCACAUCUUCCUCACUGCCAAGUGUUCCCUGGUGACAGCCUCUGCCAUGGAUAUUUUUAGCAUGUGGCCUUUCUGAGCCUGAAAAACAACAUCCACUUCCUGGAACUUCUCCUCCAGCUGACAGCCAGUGACCCACGCAGGCGGGAGCUUCAGCUGGGCCUGACAGGCGACAGUCUGCCAAUCUGCUGGGGGAGAGGAAGGCAGGCCUCAAGUUGGGCGCAAAGGCCUCCACCCCGCUCCCUUCUGUCCUGCUCUUGAGGCCUAACGACGUCAGUGCACGUCAGAAGCUGAAAAGUAAGGAAGCCUGUGAAUAAAGCCCAAGAGGCAGGAAGCUUCUCCUGCCUCUAUGACAGCUACAUCAAGUCUGAAGGCCUCCCUGUGCCCUGAGACGCAACGAUAUUGAAAUAAGGCCAAUGAGUCACCCGACAGCGGCCUUUAAGUGCUCAAAUGGAAGGAAGAGUCGUAUGUCUCUCACCUUAAAUGAAAAGCUAGAAAUGAUGAAGCUUCGUGAGAAACGUGUGUUGAAAGCCGAGACAGGCUGAAAGCGAGGUCUCUUGGGCCCAACCGGCAGCCGAGUUGCGAAUGAAAAAAGAAAGUUAUUGUAGGCCCUUAAAAGUGCGGCUCUAGUGACCACACAAAUAAGAAAGUGAAGCAGCCUUAUUGCUGAUGUGGAGGAAGUCUGAGCGGUCUGGAUGGAAGGCCAAACCAGCCACAGCAUUCCCUGAAGCCAAAGCCUGAUCCAGAGCAAGGCUUAGCUCUCUGUAACGCUAUGAAAGCAGAGAGAGGUAAGGAAGCCACUCGAGUUUAAAACCAGCGGAGGUGGGUUCGUGAGGUUUAAGGAAAGAGGCCGUCUCCGUAACAUGAAAGUACAAGGUGAAUGUGUAAGCACUCGUGUAGAAGCUACCGCAAGUUCUCCAGAAGAUCUGCCGAAGAUAAUUCACGAAGGUGGCUACACUCCAGAACAGACUUUCAGUGUAGGCCAAAGUGCCUUCUGUUGGAAGAAGAUGCCACCGAGGACUUUCAGAGCUGGAGAGGAGAAGCCAAUGCCUGGCUUCAAAGCUUCAAAGGACAGGCUGACUCUCUCGUUAGGGGCCAGUGCAGCCGAUCACUUGAAGCUGAAGUCAAUGCACAUUGUCCAUUCCAAAAAUCCUGGGGCCCUUAAGAACUAUGCUAAAUCUGCUCUGUCUGUGCUCUAUCAGUGGAUCAGCGAAGCCUGGAGGACAGCACACCUGUUUACAACAUGGCUUACUGAAUAUUUGAAGCUACUGUUGAGAUCUUCUGGUCAGAAAAAAAGAUACCUUCCAAUAAUUCUGCUCAUUGACAAUUCACCUGUCACUCAAGAGCUCUGAAGGAGUUGUACAAGGAGAUUAAUAUAUUUUUUUUGGAUUAAUGCUGUUUUCAGGCAUGCUAAUGCAACAUCCAUUCUGUAGCUCAUGGAUCGAGAAGUAAUUUUGACUUAGGAGUCUUAAGAAAUACAUCUUGUAAGGCUAGAGCUGCCAUAAAUAGUGAUUUCUCUGAUGGAUCUGGGCAAAGUCCAUUGAAAAUCUUCUGGAAAGGAUUCACUGUUCUAGAUGCCAUUAAGAACAUUCAUGAUUCGUGGGAGGAGGUCAAAAUAUCAACACGCACAGGCGGUUGGCAGAGGUUGACUCCCACCCUCCUCUCAUCUCCCUGCAUAGUUCUGGGUUAGUGUGGACUACAGGAGGCAUUUGACAUGAGUUUGGAAGGUAGACGCGAACCAGCAGCCAUCUUUUUAUGCUUAGCAGUUAGGCAGGGCACAUGGCUCUCUGGCACACACAUUCUUGCCUAUCUGCUGGCUCAACCAGUUGACUUAGGGCAGUUGGCGGGGCCCUCAGUUCUUCCAGCUUGUUCUAGGAACUCCUUCAGCUUCUCUGACUGGACUGUGACGAGGCUACCAGAUUCUCCGGCAGAAAGCCGCAGUCAUUGAGGUUUGGGCUUAAAGUCGGUGUGUGAAAGAUAUGGGUUCCAGCCUGUCCUCGUGGUUUCCUCACAGAUUUUAGCGUCUGUCCAGUUCUUGCUUCCCCCGCUUCAUGUACCUCCCUACCUGCCCCUGUUUGCCUGUCGGCUUGCCCUUUUGGAUUUGAGGCUUCCGCACCAAAUGGAGAACCACUUGUUCCCCACCAAGUGGAGAACAGAAGCUGCACAGUUAAGGGUUGAACUGUGUCCCCCCAAAGACCUGUUGAAGUCCUAACCUCCCGUACCUCAGAAUGUGACCCUGCUUGGCAAUGGGGUCGUUGCAAAUAUAAUGAAUUAAGAAAGGUCACGCUGGGGUAGGGUGGACUUUUGAUCCAACAUACUGUUGUCCUCAUGAGAAGAUGGCCAUGUGAAGACAGAGACCUAAGGGGUGAGCACUAGGUAGUGACAGGUACAGAGACUGAAGGGCUGCAGCUGCAAGCUAAUGGACACCAAGGACUCUUGGCCACCACCAGAAGCUGGGGGGAGCAGAGAGGGACCUUCCCCUUAUAGGUUUCAGAAGCUGAUGGCCCCGCCAGCACCUUGAUUUUGGAUUUCUUCUACUCUCCAGAACUGUGUCCCGAUAGGUUUCUAUUGUCUUAAAUUUCUUUACAGCGACCCUAGAAAACAAAUACAUUCACAUAGACAGUUGUGUAAGCUCGGAUCCCUAUGACACAUGCAUAUACGUGUAUGGAUUAUAUGUAUAAAUAUAAAUAUAUAAACAUGUACAUAAUCUUCCAGCAGCUCUGCUUCUCUGGUGAAACCCCGACUGCGACAAGACACGUGUUUUCAUCCCUUUUGGACAAAUAUCUGACAAGGGACUGCCAGGUCAUAGAGUAAGUGUGGAUUUAGCUUUUUAAGAAACUACCAAACUUUUUCCGAAGCGUUUUUAUUUGUAUUUUGCCCUGUUUUUUACAUUUACCACUUUCCGCUCUGACCAGAAAUGGGUUAAAGUCCCAUUUGCCCCACGUCCUUGCUAACCAUUCCAGAAGGUUUAUGGUGGGAUCUUUUACUUUGCGUUUCCCGAUGACUAAUGACACCGAGCAUCUUUUCACGUGCUUAUCGGCCAUUUGUAGAUCUUCUUUUGUGACAUGUCUGUUCAAAUCAUUUACCCAUUUUUUUUUUUUUUUAAAACGGGGAUUGUUCAUCUUCUUAUCACUGGCUGGGAAUAAGUUCUCUAUAUAUUCUGGAGAGACUACAUCCUUCAUCAAGUUUAUGUAUUACAAAUAUUUUCUCCCUGUCUGUGGCUUGCCCUCUUAUUCUCUGAGUGGUGUCUUUUGAAGCACAAAUGUUUUAAAUUUUGAUGUUUUUCUUUACCCAGCUCAGACUUUUUGUGUCUUUAAAAAACAACGACAACUUUUUACAGCCUAGGGAAUCUAGUCCAUGGCAUUGUAAUAGCAUUGUCUGGUGACAGAUGGCAACUUCACUUGUGGUGAGCACAGGAUAACAUACAGACAAGUUGAAUCACCAUGUUGUAUACCUGAAACUCAUGUAAUGUUGUAUGUCAACUGUACACAGAAUGAAAAAAUGAAAGAAAAAAUUAAAAAAUGAAAAAAUGAAAAAUAAAUGAAAGAAAUAAAAUGAAAAAUAAAUGAAAGAAAAAUAAAAAAAAUGAAAGACAAACCACUUUGCCCUCCCUACGGUCACAAAGACUUCCUUUUAUGUUUUUCUUCCAGAAGCUUUGCAGUUUUCGUUUUUAGGUUUGGGUUGAAGACCCAUUUCUAGUUAUACAUGUGCGAUUUGGGUGUAAGGGUCAAGGUUCAUUUUUCCCCCCCCAUGAAUGGCCAGUUGUUCCAGCGCCCUUUGUUUGAAAGACAUUCCUUUCCUCAUUGAAUUACUCUGUCAAAAAUUAACUGGGCGUAUAUGAGCCUCACAAUUUUUUAUUUCUAUUAGAACUGAAUGCGUCCACAUCUGGUCAUGCCCACUACUGACCUCCUUUCCAUAGAGAGCCUGUAAGACAAGCUGAUAGCUGGGGGAAAGGAACCCACACAAGAUACUGUUUUUGUACGACACACGUAUGAUGUUUUCUGCUCUUAUGGGUGACUUACUUAAUCUUGCCACAAGCUCAUAGCCACACACUGUGUUUUGUGUGUUUGUGAUACAGGAGGGAAGACAUUUCCUGGAUGCCACCUCGGUUUCUUACAGUCUGCAUUGAGUGUCUGCGGACUUCAGCUUCUAUUCGUUUCUUUGUGCUGGUAUUAUCAGCUUAUAGCUUGAGACUCUAGGACAUGGAGAUCGUAUCUGUGAGUGUCAUUUUCAUUUGUAAAGCACCUAGCUCAAUGCCCUGGGCGUGUGUGCGAUUUAGUCAGUAGGACUGAGGUUAUGGCCAAUUCACUAUCCCUCAGUUUCCUCAUCUAUUUAUUGGCAUGAAAGCUCAUCUCUAUUUAAU